rnacentral:rRNA from 1 species
UACGAAGGGGGCUAGCGUUGUUCGGAAUCACUGGGCGUAAAGGGCGCGUAGGCGGCUUUGUAAGUCGGGGGUGAAAGCCUGUGGCUCAACCACAGAAUUGCCUUCGAUACUGCAUGGCUUGAGACCGGAAGAGGUAAGUGGAACUGCGAGUGUAGAGGUGAAAUUCGUAGAUAUUCGCAAGAACACCAGGGGCGAAGGCGGCUUACUGGUCCGGUUCUGACGCUGAGGCGCGAAAGCGUGGGGAGCAAACAGG